AAAAGUUAUAAAGGGCGUAUGGUGGAUGCCUAGGCUAACAGAGGCGAUGAAGGACGUGUUAGGCUGCGAAAAGCUACGUGGAGCUGCCAAAGAGCUUUGAUGCGUAGAUGUCCGAAUGGGGAAACCCGGCUAAUGGAGACAUUAGUCACCCGAGAGGGAGCGAACCUGGUGAAGUGAAACAUCUCAGUAACCAGAGGAAAAGAAAUCAAACGAGAUUCCGAAAGUAGCGGCGAGCGAAAUUGGAUUAGCCCGAUAUUAUGUAACAUAUCAUAUAACUGAAUUACCUGGGAAGGUAAGUCAUAGAAGGUGAUAGCCCUGUAAGUGAAAUAUGAUAUGUGGGACUAAGUAAUAUCCUAGUGAGUAAGUCGGAACACGUGAAAUUCUGACUGAAUAUGGGGGGACCACCCUCCAAGGCUAAAUACUACUGUUAGACCGAUAGUGAACCAGUACCGUGAGGGAAAGGUGAAAAGAACCCCAGUGAGGGGAGUGAAAUAGAACCUGAAACCAUAUGCCUACAAUCAUUCAGAGCCGUAUUGUUUAUCAACGGUGAUGGACUGCCUUUUGCAUAAUGAGCCUGCGAGUUACGAUAUCUGGCGAGGUUAAGUGAAUACGAAGCCGAAGCGAAAGCGAGUCUGAAUAGGGCGUAGGUCUUAGGAGCUUAGUCAGAUGUUGUAGACCCGAAGCUGAGUGAUCUAUCCAUGAGCAGGUUGAAGCGGGUGUAAAAGCCCGUGGAGGACCGAACCGGUAAGUGUUGAAAAACUUUCGGAUGACUUGUGGAUAGGGGUGAAAGGCCAAUCAAACUCAGUGAUAGCUGGUUCUCUCCGAAAUAUAUUUAGGUAUAGCCUCAAGAAUUGGCAUGUAGGGGUAAAGCACUGAAUGGGCUAGGGCUACUUACCGUGGUACCAAACCCAAUCAAACUCUGAAUACUACAUGUUUUAUCUUGGGAGUCAGGCGAUGGGUGAUAAAAUCCACCGUCGAGAGGGGAACAACCCAGACUACCAAAUAAGGUCCCUAAGUUCUAUCUAAGUGGAAAAGGAUGUAACAUUGCUUAGACAAUUAGGAGGUUGGCUUAGAAGCAGCCACCCUUUAAAGAAAGCGUAACAGCUCACUAAUCUAGCGAUGAUGCGCCGAAAAUAUAACGGGGCUAAGAUAGACACCGAAUUUGUAGACCCGCCAGGGUGGUAGGAGAGCGUUCUAAAAUCAGUGAAGCUGUAUCGACAAGAAGCAGUGGAGAUUUUAGAAGUGAGCAUGCAGGUAUGAGUAACGAUAAAACAGGUGAGAAUCCUGUUCGCCGAAAACCCAAGGUUUCCUACGCGAUGCUCGUCAUCGUAGGGUUAGUCUGGUCCUAAGCCGAGUCCGAAAGGGGUAGGUGAUGGCAAAUCGGUUAAUAUUCCGAUACCAACUUUAAAUUGUGAUGGAAGGACGCAUAGGGCUAUCUGAGGUCGCUGAUGGAAUAGCGGCUCGAAAGAUGUAGGUAGAAAAAUUGGUAAAUCCGUUUUUUGUUUCCGAAAUCUGACAGGCUCUUGAAGCCCUUCGGGGUGGAUUGAGAAUCAGGGAUGCCGUCGUGCCAAGAAAAGUUUCUAAGCUUAGUUUAAAGUUGCCAGUACCGUAAACCGACACAGGUGGGUGAGAUGAGUAUUCUCAGGCGCGCAGAAGAACCGUGAUUAAGGAACUCUGCAAAAUAGCACCGUAUCUUCGGUAUAAGGUGUGCCACAGCAAUGUGGUCUCAGCAAAGAGUCCCUCCCGACUGUUUACCAAAAACACAGCACUCUGCCAACAAGUAAUUGGAUGUAUAGGGUGUGACGCCUGCCCGGUGCUGGAAUGUUAAGGGGAUUUGUUAGGCAACGAAGCAAUGAACCGAAGCACCAGUAAACGGCGGCCGUAACUAUAACGGUCCUAAGGUAGCGAAAUUCCUUGUCG
rnacentral:rRNA from 1 species